rnacentral:rRNA from 1 species
AAUGAACGCUGGCGGCAUGCCUAACACAUGCAAGUCGAACGAGACCGUCGGGGCUAGUUGCGCAUGGGUGCGUAACGCGUGGGAACCGGCCCUUAGGUGCGGAAUAACUCCCCGAAUGGGGUGCUAAUAACGGUGAAUGUCUUCGAACAAAGGAUUUUGCGCCCUUGGAUGGGCCUGCGUUGGAGUAGCUAGUUGGUAGGGUAAAAGCCUACGAAGGGGCCGAUACAUAGCUGGUAUGAGAGGAUGAUCAGCCACCCUGGGACUGAGACACGGACCAGACUCCUACGGGAGGCAGCAGUGGGGAAUAUUGGACAGUGGGCGAACGCCUGAUACAGCGAUGCCGCGUGAGUGAUGCAGGCCUUAGGGUUGUAAAGCUCUUUUAACCGGGAUGAUAAUGACAGUACCGGGAGAAUAAGCACCGGCUAACUCCGUG